AUAGUAUCCAAUGUGUGCUUACUAAAUUUGGAACAAUACAGGGAAGAUUAGCAGGGCCCCUGUGCAAGGAUGACAUGCUGAUUUGUGAAGCAUUCAAUAUUUUU